rnacentral:rRNA from 1 species
AACGAACGCUGGCGGCAGGCUUAACACAUGCAAGUCGAACGCACCGCAAGGUGAGUGGCAGACGGGUGAGUAACACGUGGGGAUCUGCCCAAUGGUACGGAAUAGCUCCGGGAAACUGGAAUUAAUACCGUACGAGCCAGCAAGGGGAAAGAUUUAUCGCCAUUGGAUGAACCCGCGUCGGAUUAGCUAGUUGGUGUGGUAAAGGCGCACCAAGGCGACGAUCCGUAGCUGGUCUGAGAGGAUGAUCAGCCACACUGGGACUGAGACACGGCCCAGACUCCUACGGGAGGCAGCAGUGGGGAAUAUUGGACAAUGGGCGCAAGCCUGAUCCAGCCAUGCCGCGUGAGUGAUGAAGGCCUUAGGGUUGUAAAGCUCUGUCUUUUGGGACGAUAAUGACGGUACCAAAGGAGGAAGCCACGGCUAACUACGUGCCAGCCGCCGCAGUAAGAC